rnacentral:rRNA from 1 species
AUGAACGCUGGCGGCAUGCCUUACACAUGCAAGUCGAACGGCAGCAUGACCUAGCUUGCUAGGUUGAUGGCGAGUGGCGAACGGGUGAGUAAUGCAUCGGAACGUGCCUUUUAGUGGGGGAUAACGUAGCGAAAGUUACGCUAAUACCGCAUAUUCUCUGAGGAGGAAAGCAGGGGACCUUCGGGCCUUGCGCUAGAAGAGCGGCCGAUGUCGGAUUAGCUAGUUGGUGAGGUAAAGGCUCACCAAGGCAACGAUCCGUAGCGGGUCUGAGAGGAUGAUCCGCCACACUGGGACUGAGACAAGGCCCAGACUACUGCGGGAGGCAGCAGUGGGGAAUUUUAGACAAUGGGCGCAAGCCUGAUCCAGCCAUGCCGCGUGAGUGAAGAAGGCCUUCGGGUUGUAAAGCUCUUUCGGCUGGGAAGAAAUCGCACCCUCUAAUACAGGGUGUGGAUGACGGUACCAGCAUAAGAAGCACCGGCUAACUACGUG